GGGCUGUGAAUGUAAGUGGAAGAAGGUGAUGCAUCAAAGCUUGAUGUAGGUCAUCGGUAAACAUGAAAAAUUAAAAAGUUUAAUUGUGACCCCUAUUGCCUGCAGUUGUACACUUUUUUGCUGCAUAAGGCAUUUGUUACGUGUUCGCGUUGUGUUUUUUUUCCCUCUCUCUGUUCUCCGCCCUUUAAACUCUUAGUCACCGGUCAUUGGUUCCCGUCACCCAUCAAUCAUCAUCAGCGCUGACGUCACACCUUCUGCAGUCUCCAAUCAUCCCAAACCACCUCAAAUAAAAGAGCCCGCCAGACCACCCACAAGCCCUUUGUUUUGCUGUUUGUUCGCUACUUGUUUGGAUCACUGAUUAUCAUUGUAUAUUGCGUCGUUUGAUGUUCGUUACUGUGUAUUGUUUUCCCGUUCCCUUUUCCACUCAUAUUGUUAGUUAUCAUUCGUUGUGUGUUAUGAGGCCGCGGAGAAGUGGACAGGUUUAUUACGAGUUCAACCGAGUGGUGGGGAAAAAAAUCUCAGAACUUCCUUGACGCUCUGGACCAUCACUCUUCAAAUCUGAUGGACAUCUUCAGAAAGAAAGGCCAGUCAAAUUUUGGCUGAGCUUUUACGUCAGACAAAGACGACCGAGCCAACAGAUGUUAGGUCCCUUUGCCUUCAUGGACUGCCAGUCAUAUUGGGUGAUGACCCAUCUGCCUUCAAGACCUGCUCUGAUGUGACUGACAAGGACUCAUACAACCAAAUACCAGUAGGAAUCCUCUGCGCUGAUGAAGAAAGUCCACAGUUAAACCCUUCCAGAGUGUGCACCAUCUUGGAAGGUAAUUCAGUGAUGGAACCAGACAACCUGCUUCAGGCCUUCUGUCUUUUUGGACUGACAUAUGUUUGUUCUUAUGGGUGGGGAUGUUUACGUGUUCGCGUUGUAGUGUU